UACAGAGGGUGCGAGCGUUAAUCGGAAUUACUGGGCGUAAAGGGUGCGUAGGUGGUUUUCUAAGUUGGGUGUGAAAGUCCUGGGCUUAACCUGGGGAUUGCGCUCAAUACUGGGGAGCUAGAGUACUGUAGAGGAAAGUGGAAUUUCCGGUGUAGCGGUGAAAUGCGUAGAUAUCGGAAGGAACAUCAGUGGCGAAGGCGACUUUCUGGACAGCUACUGACACUGAGGCACGAAAGCGUGGGGAGCAAACAGG
rnacentral:rRNA from 1 species